rnacentral:misc_RNA from 1 species
UUUCCGUAGGUGAACCUGCGGAAGGAUCAUUCAUAAUAAAGUGUUUUAUGGCACUUUUUAAAAAUCCAUAUCCACCUUGUGUGCAAUGUUAGAUCUCGUCAAUCUUGGCGAGAUUUUUAUACAUCAACUCAUUCUUUAACUAAUUUGUCUGAAAAAUAUUAUGAAUAAAACAAUUCAAAAUACAACUUUCAACAACGGAUCUCUUGGCUCUC